rnacentral:rRNA from 1 species
AGAGUUUGAUCCUGGCUCAGGACGAACGCUGGCGGCGUGCCUAAUACAUGCAAGUAGAACGCUGAAGAGAGGAGCUUGCUCUUCUUGGAUGAGUUGCGAACGGGUGAGUAACGCGUAGGUAACCUGCCUUGUAGCGGGGGAUAACUAUUGGAAACGAUAGCUAAUACCGCAUAACAAUGGAUGACACAUGUCAUUUAUUUGAAAGGGGCAAUUGUUCCACUACAAGAUGGACCUGCGUUGUAUUAGCUAGUAGGUGAGGUAAUGGCUCACCUAGGCGACGAUACAUAGCCGACCUGAGAGGGUGAUCGGCCACACUGGGACUGAGACACGGCCCAGACUCCUACGGGAGGCAGCAGUAGGGAAUCUUCGGCAAUGGGGGCAACCCUGACCGAGCAACGCCGCGUGAGUGAAGAAGGUUUUCGGAUCGUAAAGCUCUGUUGUAAGUCAAGAACGGGUGUGAGAGUGGAAAGUUCACACUAUGACGGUAGCUUACCAGAAAGGGACGGCUAACUACGUGCCAGCAGCCGCGGUAAUACGUAGGUCCCGAGCGUUGUCCGGAUUUAUUGGGCGUAAAGCGAGCGCAGGCGGUUUGAUAAGUCUGAAGUUAAAGGCUGUGGCUCAACCAUAGUUCGCUUUGGAAACUGUCAAACUUGAGUGCAGAAGGGGAGAGUGGAAUUCCAUGUGUAGCGGUGAAAUGCGUAGAUAUAUGGAGGAACACCGGUGGCGAAAGCGGCUCUCUGGUCUGUAACUGACGCUGAGGCUCGAAAGCGUGGGGAGCGAACAGGAUUAGAUACCCUGGUAGUCCACGCCGUAAACGAUGAGUGCUAGGUGUUGGAUCCUUUCCGGGAUUCAGUGCCGCAGCUAACGCAUUAAGCACUCCGCCUGGGGAGUACGACCGCAAGGUUGAAACUCAAAGGAAUUGACGGGGGCCCGCACAAGCGGUGGAGCAUGUGGUUUAAUUCGAAGCAACGCGAAGAACCUUACCAGGUCUUGACAUCCCGAUGCUAUUUCUAGAGAUAGAAAGUUACUUCGGUACAUCGGUGACAGGUGGUGCAUGGUUGUCGUCAGCUCGUGUCGUGAGAUGUUGGGUUAAGUCCCGCAACGAGCGCAACCCCUAUUGUUAGUUGCCAUCAUUCAGUUGGGCACUCUAGCGAGACUGCCGGUAAUAAACCGGAGGAAGGUGGGGAUGACGUCAAAUCAUCAUGCCCCUUAUGACCUGGGCUACACACGUGCUACAAUGGUUGGUACAACGAGUUGCGAGUCGGUGACGGCGAGCUAAUCUCUUAAAGCCAAUCUCAGUUCGGAUUGUAGGCUGCAACUCGCCUACAUGAAGUCGGAAUCGCUAGUAAUCGCGGAUCAGCACGCCGCGGUGAAUACGUUCCCGGGCCUUGUACACACCGCCCGUCACACCACGAGAGUUUGUAACACCCGAAGUCGGUGAGGUAACCUUUUGGAGCCAGCCGCCUAAGGUGGGACAGAUGAUUGGGGUGAAGUCGUAACAAGGUAGCCGUAUCGGAAGGUGCGGCUGGAUCACCU